AACGAACGCUGGCGGCAUGCUUAACACAUGCAAGUCGAACGCUCUGGCUUCGGCCAGGGAGUGGCGCACGGGUGAGUAGCGCGUGGGAACCUGCCCUAAAGUGGGGGAUAACCGAGGGAAACUUCGGCUAAUACCGCAUACGCCGGGAAACCGGGAAAGAUUCAUCGCUUUAGGAGGGGCCCGCGUCGGAUUAGCUAGUUGGUGGGGUAACGGCCUACCAAGGCGACGAUCCGUAGCCGGUCUGAGAGGACGGCCAGCCACACUGGAACUGAGACACGGUCCAGACUCCUACGGGAGGCAGCAGUGGGGAAUUUUGGACAAUGGGCGCAAGCCUGAUCCAGCCAUGCCGCGUGAGCGAAGAAGGCCUCGGUUG
rnacentral:rRNA from 1 species